GACGGAGCAGGCUCUGCGCAUGAGUGUGGAGGCCGACAUCAACGGCCUGCGCAGGGUGCUGGAUGAGCUGACCCUGGCCAGGACCGACCUGGAGAUGCAGAUCGAAGGCCUGAAGGAAGAGCUGGCCUACCUGAAGAAGAACCAUGAGGAGGAAAUCAGUACGCUGAGGGGCCAAGUGGGAGGCCAGGUCAGUGUGGAGGUGGAUUCGGCUCCGGGCACCGAUCUCGCCAAGAUCCUGAGUGACAUGCGAAGCCAAUAUGAGGUCAUGGCCGAGCAGAACCGGAAGGAUGCUGAAGCCUGGUUCACCAGCCGGACUGAAGAAUUGAACCGGGAGGUCGCUGGCCACACGGAGCAGCUCCAGAUGAGCAGGUCCGAGGUUACUGACCUGCGGCGCACCCUUCAGGGACUUGAGAUUGAGCUGCAGUCACAGCUGAGCAUGGUAUGUGUCCCCCCUCCCCUGCUUCCCUGGGCAAUGCACACUUAUGCCCUUGCAGCCUAGGGCAGCCUGGCUGGUGGCUGUGCCCAUGCCUUCUCCGGGAACCAGGCUCUGCUGAGUCACACCCCCCUUUCCCUAUCUUCAGAAAGCUGCCUUGGAAGACACACUGGCAGAAACGGAGGCGCGCUUUGGAGCCCAGCUGGCGCAUAUCCAGGCGCUGAUCAGCGGUAUUGAAGCCCAGCUGGGCGAUGUGCGAGCUGAUAGUGAGCGGCAGAAUCAGGAGUACCAGCGGCUCAUGGACAUCAAGUCGCGGCUGGAGCAGGAGAUUGCCACCUACCGCAGCCUGCUCGAGGGCCAGGAAGAUCACUACAGCAACCUGUCCGCCUCCAAGGUCCUCUGAGGCAGCAGGCUCUGGGGCUUCUGCUGUCC
rnacentral:sRNA from 1 species